rnacentral:rRNA from 1 species
UAUAACCGGCGAUACCCGAAUGGGGAAACCCAGUGUGAUUCGUCACACUAUCAUUAACUGAAUCCAUAGGUUAAUGAGGCGAACCGGGGGAACUGAAACAUCUAAGUACCCCGAGGAAAAGAAAUCAACCGAGAUUCCCCCAGUAGCGGCGAGCGAACGGGGAGGAGCCCAGAGCCUGAAUCAGCAUGUGUGUUAGUGGAAGCGUCUGGAAAGGCGCGCGAUACAGGGUGACAGCCCCGUACACAAAAGCGCAUGUGCUGUGAGCUCGAUGAGUAGGGCGGGACACGUG